ACAUCUAUAGUUUAGAGUUCCUUUUUUCCGCAGCAUCCACUCUUCUUAAGCUGAAUCAAAACAUUCAGAAAUUGAAUCAAACACUCGUUGAGCCUAUUGUUUGAGCCAAUUUUCUCAGUUGUUGCGAAAGAUGACUACUCAAGACGUAGAGAUGAUAGAGCAGGGAGCAGCAGCUCCUUCCAAUUCUGUCUCCUCCACUGGCGGCCCCUCUGUCUUGCACCAUUUGAAGGAGAUAGCGUCUCUGAUUGAGAGUGGGGCAUAUGCUCGUGAGGUCCGGAGGAUAGCCAGAGCCGUGAGGCUGACUAUGGCACUGAGGAAGAAGCUAAAAGCUUCUGUACUCUCUGCUUUCCUCAAUUAUGCUCUUGUGCCUAGAUCAGAGAUGCAUUCGCGGCUAUCUUCAUAUCUACCCACGGAAGAUGAGCAUGAUAUGGAAGUUGAUACUGCAACAUCUGCAUCUCAAGCCCCUGCAAAACAUCCUUUGCCAGAGCUUGAGAUCUAUUGCUACUUGCUUGUUCUGAUAUUUUUAAUCGACCAGAAGAAAUACAAUGAGGCUAAGGCAUGUUCCUCAGCAAGCAUUGCUCGUCUAAAAACUGUUAACAGGAGGACUGUUGAUGUACUAGCAUCAAGGCUCUACUUUUACUACUCUCUGUGCUAUGAACUGACUGGUGAUCUUGCUGAAAUUAGGGGUAUUCUCCUUGGGUUGCACCGGAUUGCAACACUGCGCCAUGACGAAUUGGGUCAGGAAACACUUCUAAAUCUAUUGCUGCGGAAUUACCUUCACUACAACUUGUAUGAUCAAGCAGAAAAAUUGAGGUCAAAGGCCCCCCAUUUUGAAGCUCAUUCAAAUCAGCAGUUCUGCCGAUACCUCUUCUACCAUGGAAAGAUCAGGACAAUCCAGUUGGAGUAUACAGAUGCCAAAGAAUCUCUUCUUCAAGCUGCUCGUAAAGCUCCUCUAGCCGCUCUUGGUUUCCGAGUUCAAUGCAAUAAGUGGGCUAUUAUAGUCCGCUUAUUGCUUGGGGAGAUUCCGGAGAGGACUGUUUUUAUGCAGAAAGGCAUGGAGAAAGCAUUAGGGCCAUAUUUUGAGCUGACAAAUGCUGUUCGCGUUGGAGAUUUGGAGUUAUUUAGAAAGGUUGCGGACAAGUUUUCAAGCACUUUCAGUUCAGAUGGGACUAACAAUUUGAUUGUCAGACUCCGGCAUAAUGUCAUUCGGACUGGGCUCCGCAACAUCAGUAUCUCAUACUCUAGGAUCUCAUUGGCUGAUGUGGCAAAGAAGCUGAGAUUGGAUUCUCCAAAUCCUGUUGCUGAUGCUGAGAGUAUCGUGUCAAAAGCAAUUCGAGAUGGUGCAAUUGAUGCCACAUUGGAUCAUGCUAAUGGAUGGAUGGUGUCAAAGGAAACUGGUGACAUUUACUCCACAAAUGAGCCUCAAAUUGCUUUUAACUCAAGAAUUGCCUUCUGUCUGAAUAUGCAUAAUGAAGCAGUCCGUGCUCUUCGAUUUCCUCCGAAUUCUCACAAGGGGAAAGAAAGUGCUGAGAAGAGGAGAGAGAGACAACAACAAGAACAAGAACUUGCUAAGCACAUAGCUGAAGAGGACGACGAUGACUUCUGAUGGAACUGAUGAUCAGCAUUGGGGUGCACAUGUGGCGGCAUGCUUUACUUAAGAAUUCCCUUUAAGAGAAUAUGAUCACAUAUACAUUUCAUACGCAAUUUCCUUUGGUCUUCUGGUUCUUGCAGUCUGACAUCAGGUGCCAGGGGUUUUCACAAGUAGCAUCAUGCUCUUCCUUUGGUGCAAAGCCUUAUGUUUAUACCAAAAUAGCAUUUUUGGAGGUCCCAAAUUUGUUGGAGCUGCAACUUAGUAGUCCCUCUUUAACAAUUUUGCAAGAACCAUGUACAAGCAAGCUCGCAAGAGAAAAAAGAAACAACGAAAUCAUGACUGCCUUUCAGUAACAGGCCUCGCACGAAACAAAAAAAUAAAGAUAGAUCGAGACUAGAGAGAAGAAAACUAAAAGAAAAAGAAGUCUUGGUUCUCAAAAGUUCGAACAAAUAGAAGGAUGCAUGCGAGCACCAAAACGACCCCAAUCAUUUUUC